CAGUCGCCACGGUAAUACGGAGGGUGCAAGCGUUAUCCGGAUUUAUUGGGUUUAAAGGGUCCGUAGGCGGAUCUGUAAGUCAGUGGUGAAAUCUCACAGCUUAACUGUGAAACUGCCAUUGAUACUGCAGGUCUUGAGUAAAUUUGAAGUGGCUGGAAUAAGUAGUGUAGCGGUGAAAUGCAUAGAUAUUACUUAGAACACCAAUUGCGAAGGCAGGUCACUAAGAUUUAACUGACGCUGAUGGACGAAAGCUAGGGGAGCAAAUGGGAUUAGAUACCCCGGUAGUCCCUGUCUCUUAUAU
rnacentral:rRNA from 1 species